UGUGUGCUUGCGAAUGAGCAGGAGAGGUGCCGGACUUCUACACCCAGACGGCCCCCCGACCCUGGGAGGUCCAAGCCACGCCCCCCAACUUGUUCACCAACCACACGGAGCUCAUCCGCGUGCCUUACACCUCCUCUGUAAAGGACUGCCACGACUGCAGCGCGACCGGCAAGAAGCCGUGUAAGGAGUGCACGGGAAGCGGACAUAAAGCGUGCUGGGUGUGCAACGGCUCGGGCACCAAAGACGAUCUGAACUGCUCCCACUGUAACUCUACAGGCAAAGAAAAGUACUGCACGCCACUGCAAUUCACCUCCACUGCUGCCUCGACUUGCAGCUUUGAUU